rnacentral:lncRNA from 1 species
GUAUGAACAAAACAGCCAAGAAACAAAGCGUGAGAUGAGCUGUUGCAGUAACUCCCUGACUACCCAAAAGAUGGAGGACUAGAGUGUCCUACAAUCAGACCUUUGAUAGAAAAAGAAGAAGUUCUGUGAAUAGACCUUCCUGAUUCAGGCUCCUGCAUGAGCUGUGGUGUUGCCUUGGGAGCUGCAAAACUGGCAUGAGCGAAGGAGGGGAGUGAGCUGCCUGCUACUGCUGUUCUGAGCAGACAUCCAGCCCCCAGCAGGGCCUGGCACGGGGGCUGUGGGGCUCGUGCCUCCAAGCAGCUCAGUCACCAGCUGACAUUGUGCACUUCCUUGGUGUUGUGGCCAGACCAAAUCGAAACAGACGGAAGAAAAUGUCGGUGCGGCAGCAGUGGGGAAGUGGGAGCUCCUGCUCUGCUGGAGCGGCUCGGAGGAGCGGGGGCUGCAGGCCUGCAGCGUGCCUCGCCUGGCUGCCCAGGAGCUCUGCUCACCAAGUGCAGCCUGGCCUGCAGCAGUAAUGUGCACCAAGGUAUGUCAAACAGCCAAAAACAGGAACUGCUGUAGUAAACUGUACUCUUCCCUGCAGGAAAUACCACACAGCCUUCUUGAAUAAGAAUAAAAGAUUAAACUCAAAGUACA